AUACGGAGGGUGCGAGCGUCAAUCGGAAUUACUGGGCGUAAAGCGUACGUAGGCGGUUGGUUAAGUUAGAUGUGAAAGCCCCGGGCUUAACCUGGGAACUGCAUUUAAAACUGGCGAACUAGAGUUGAGUAGAGGGGAGUGGAAUUUCAGGUGUAGCGGUGAAAUGCGUAGAGAUCUGAAGGAACACCAGUGGCGAAGGCGACUCCCUGGACUCGAACUGACGCUGAGGUACGAAAGCGUGGGGAGCAAACAGGAUUAGAAACCCUAGUAGUCC
rnacentral:rRNA from 1 species